ACCAUCCUUUUCUUGGGGUUGCACUACUGUCCAAUGAGCAUCUAGUGAAGGCAGAUUGCUAAUGCCUACACAACACACUUGCAUCAGCUAGAGCUCUACUUCAUCUUGGUGCAAUUUUUGGAAAA
rnacentral:ncRNA from 1 species